rnacentral:lncRNA from 1 species
CGGUGCGAUGUGCCGUGCCAACCGAGCGGACAACAACGUGGUGAAAAUUUUGGGCCUACGGGAUCCUCUACCUGGAAUUUUGGAUGCUGGAGAGCGGCUCCAAAAUGAUAGAUAAUGAAGGGCAGUUUGGUAAAUUUAAGGCCAUUUAAAGCGUGGUGGGGAGAGAGCGGAUUACAGCUGGGUGGCCGUUAAAAAGAGUUCCCGGG